AUUCAAGAAGUUCAAGAGCCUCCAGGCGCCCUACAGACAGUUAAUGCAUGGAUCGCCCUCAGUCGUACAGCAUGCAGCCUGUCGCUAUACCGACUGAGCUAUCAAUCCAGUUUAAAAUGUACAAAUAUUACAUUAUCUUUGAUCAAAGCUCAAAAUUAAUUUUGUUUUUGUUCUUGUAGUUUAAUGGCGCUCUGCAUACGAGAGCUGUGUGAUGUUGAGUAUAAAUUAUUUUAUUUAUAAGUUGAAUAAUUUUGGUGUUUCUGCAAAAUUAUUAGGAGCUGCAUAAGAAAUUCCCGAGUUCCCGAGAGAUCGAUCAUCAUUCUUAUUGAUCUUAUUGAUAUCCAAAAUGGCAGUUCGUUCAGUGGUUAAGGUUGAUGACACUCAAGUUUUCAAUGAUAGUAAAACAAGUGAGGUAACGAGUGCUUGUUGUCAUAAAUUUAAAAUAGAACUAGGAUCAGCACGAAAAAUUAUUGAACUGCUAUAAGAAGAGAUAAACACGCCCAAUCGUAUCCAUCAGAAGAGAUACUGUCCAACAUCAAGAUUGAGCCCAGUGACAGCAAACUGGAGCUUCAGAUAGCCCUCAAGAAAGCACGGAGACUGAAGCUGCAGGAGGCUGUUACAGAAUCAAAGAACAGUGUAGAAAAGGUGGCAGAGUCAGUACUGGGGAGAAACACGGAAGGAAACACGGAAGGUGGUUCCAUUGUGCUGAAUGCUACAGCAGAAUUCUGCCGUACGUUGGAUGACAUCCCCAUUUAUGGUCUGGCUGGCAACAGGGAUGAGGAUGCUCAGGAACUACUUGACUUUGAGAGGGAAAUGACUGAAGAGAAGAAACAUCAGGAAGAAGAAGGCAAACGUGGAGCUUGGAAUGAAGUUGAGAUUGGUGAGUCAUUAGCAGAUUCUUUA